rnacentral:rRNA from 1 species
UGCAAGUCGAGGGGCAGCAUUUUAGUUUGCUUGCAAACUGAAGAUGGCGACCGGCGCACGGGUGAGUAACACGUAUCCAACCUGCCGAUAACUCCGGAAUAGCCUUUCGAAAGAAAGAUUAAUACCGGAUAGCAUACGAAUAUCGCAUGAUAUUUUUAUUAAAGAAUUUCGGUUAUCGAUGGGGAUGCGUUCCAUUAGUUUGUUGGCGGGGUAACGGCCCACCAAGACUACGAUGGAUAGGGGUUCUGAGAGGAAGGUCCCCCACAUUGGAACUGAGACACGGUCCAAACUCCUACGGGAGGCAGCAGUGAGGAAUAUUGGUCAAUGGGCGAGAGCCUGAACCAGCCAAGUAGCGUGAAGGAUGAAGGCUCUAUGGGUCGUAAACUUCUUUUAUAUGGGAAUAAAGUUUUCCACGUGUGGAAUUUUGUAUGUACCAUAUGAAUAAGGAUCGGCUAACUCCGUGCCAGCAGCCGCGGUAAUACGGAGGAUCCGAGCGUUAUCCGGAUUUAUUGGGUUUAAAGGGAGCGUAGGUGGAUUGUUAAGUCAGUUGUGAAAGUUUGCGGCUCAACCGUAAAAUUGCAGUUGAAACUGGCAGUCUUGAGUACAGUAGAGGUGGGCGGAAUUCGUGGUGUAGCGGUGAAAUGCUUAGAUAUCACGAAGAACUCCGAUUGCGAAGGCAGCUCACUAGACUGUCACUGACACUGAUGCUCGAAAGUGUGGGUAUCAAACAGGAUUAGAUACCCUGGUAGUCCACACAGUAAACGAUGAAUACUCGCUGUUUGCGAUAUACAGUAAGCGGCCAAGCGAAAGCAUUAAGUAUUCCACCUGGGGAGUACGCCGGCAACGGUGAAACUCAAAGGAAUUGACGGGGGCCCGCACAAGCGGAGGAACAUGUGGUUUAAUUCGAUGAUACGCGAGGAACCUUACCCGGGCUUAAAUUGCAACAGAAUAUAUUGGAAACAGUAUAGCCGUAAGGCUGUUGUGAAGGUGCUGCAUGGUUGUCGUCAGCUCGUGCCGUGAGGUGUCGGCUUAAGUGCCAUAACGAGCGCAACCCUUAUCUUUAGUUACUAACAGGUUAUGCUGAGGACUCUAGAGAGACUGCCGUCGUAAGAUGUGAGGAAGGUGGGGAUGACGUCAAAUCAGCACGGCCCUUACGUCCGGGGCUACACACGUGUUACAAUGGGGGGUACAGAAGGCGGCUACCUGGUGACAGGAUGCUAAUCCCAAAAACCUCUCUCAGUUCGGAUCGAAGUCUGCAACCCGACUUCGUGAAGCUGGAUUCGCUAGUAAUCGCGCAUCAGCCAUGGCGCGGUGAAUACGUUCCCGGGCCUUGUACACACCGCCCGUCAAGCCAUGAAAGCCGGGGGUACCUGAAGUACGUAACCGCAAGGAGCGUCCUA